rnacentral:rRNA from 1 species
AACGGCCGUACCAUGCUGAAUAUACCGGUUCUCGUUAGAUCAGCGGAGUUAAGCAUCAUUGGGCGCGGUCAGUACUUGGGUGGGUGACCACCUGGGAACACUGCGUGCCGUU